rnacentral:rRNA from 4 species
CGAGACCUCAGGUCAGGC